AUUGAACGCUGGCGGCAUGCUUUACACAUGCAAGUCGAACGGUAACAGGGUGCUUGCACCGCUGACGAGUGGCGAACGGGUGAGUAAUGCGUCGGCACGUGCCGAGUAGUGGGGGAUAACGCAGCAAAAGUUGUGCUAAUACCGCAUACGUACUGAGGUAGAAAGUGGGGGACCUUGGGGCCGCACGCUAUUCGAGCGGCCGAAGUCUGAUUAGGUAGUAGGUGGGGUAAAGGCUCACCUAGGCGACGAUCAGUAGCGGGUCUGAGAGGAUGAUCAGCCACACUGGGACUGAGACACGGCCCAGACUCCUACGGGAGGCAGCAGUGGGGAAUUUUGGACAAUGGGCGAAAGCCUGAUCCAGCCAUGCCGCGUGUAGGAAGAAGGCCUUCGGGUUGUAAAGGACUUUUGUCAGGGAGGAAAUCCCUAGUGCUAAUAACACUGGGGGAUGACAGUACCCGAAGAAUAAGCACCGGCUAACUACGUGCCAGCCGCCGCUGUAA
rnacentral:rRNA from 1 species